CGAGAGUGACUAGCUAACUGAAUCAAUUAUAAAAAUUGAUAACAUAAGGGAAAAUAAUGAUAUUACCUUAUUAUUAGUGUCGUCCAAAACUGGUGCCAGAAGACUCGGUAAGGCCUGAGACACAAACGUUAAUCGUCUUAAUCAGGCGUAAAGGGUUUGUAGGCGGCUUUAAAUUUACUUAUAAAAAUAAAAAAUAAGUAAAGAUAAAAGCUAGAAUCAAAUAGAGGAUAUAUGAAAGAAUGCUUAGAGUAGGUCUGAUAUCCUUAGAUACUAAGUAGAAUAUUAAAGGCGAAAGCUUUUUUCCAUUAAUGAUUGACGCUCAGAAACGAAGGUGAGGAUAGGAAAUAGGAUUAGAUACCCAGAAUACCCCUCUCUGUCAACGAUGAAUGGUAGUUAUUAGUAAAAAUUAUUAAUGGCAAUGUUAACACGAUAACCAUUCCGCCUUGUGAGUACAAUUGCAAAGUUGAAAACAAAAAAAUUAGUCGGUUUCGGAGCAAACGAAGUGAAGCAUGUUAUUUAAUUCGAAAAAAUCCCGCGAGUG
rnacentral:rRNA from 1 species